UAUUGAUGGAACUGGUCCUUCAGGUAUUUCUAGCAUUAAGUUAUAUGACAGAUCUUUUUCAAUGGGAAAUUGAACGUGUCUAUGUCUUGAGAAAAUGAUUGACUGCAUUUAAAGAAGAAAAAUAAAGUGGGAUAAGGAACUAAAUAAAUGACGAGGAGCAUCAUGACAUAGAAUUCAUGAUGUGCUCCUAGAAAGUCAAAAGCUUGCUUUUUUUGAUAUUGUCUAUUUCACAUUUUAUAGAUAUUUUAUUUACCCCAAGCACUUUAUAAAGAUCGUGAUAUAUUAAUAACUUCAUCCUUAAUUUUAAAUAUUCUCUAAGGACAUCCAGAAAUCUGCUUAAUCCAUAUUUGAAUAUUAUACUGCUAGUUCAUGAAUUUUUAAAUAACUUGUAUUCCCUUUGGUUUGACAUAAAUUUUCAUAGUAAAGCUCUAUCAUACUCACUUUAUCAUGUGACACUUUUUCAUUGCAUUGGCUUUACCCUUUUUUUCAAAAAAACCAAUGAAAGAUAAAAAUACUAGUCAAGUAAUUUGGCCUGCAUUUGCUUUAAUGGUUG
rnacentral:misc_RNA from 1 species